AUUGAACGCUGGCGGCAGGCCUAACACAUGCAAGUCGAGCGGUAGAGAGAAGCUUGCUUCUCUUGAGAGCGGCGGACGGGUGAGUAAUGCCUAGGAAUCUGCCUGGUAGUGGGGGAUAACGUUCGGAAACGGACGCUAAUACCGCAUACGUCCUACGGGAGAAAGCAGGGGACUUUCGGGCCUUGCGCUAUCAGAUGAGCCUAGGUCGGAUUAGCUAGUUGGUGAGGUAAUGGCUCACCAAGGCGACGAUCCGUAACUGGUCUGAGAGGAUGAUCAGUCACACUGGAACUGAGACACGGUCCAGACUCCUACGGGAGGCAGCAGUGGGGAAUAUUGGACAAUGGGCGAAAGCCUGAUCCAGCCAUGCCGCGUGUGUGAAGAAGGUCUUCGGAUUGUAAAGCACUUUAAGUUGGGAGGAAGGGUUGUAGAUUAAUACUCUGCAAUUUUGACGUUACCGACAGAAUAAGCACUGGCUAACUCUGUGCCAGCAGCCGCAGUAA
rnacentral:rRNA from 1 species